AAUCAACGCUGGCGGCGUGCCUCAGACAUGCAAGUCGAACGAUUAAAGCUCUCUUCGGAGAGUGUAUAGAGUGGCGCACGGGUGAGUAACACGUAAGUAAUCUACCCUCGAGUGGGGAAUAACGUCCGGAAACGGACGCUAAUACCGCAUAAUGCAGCGGCACCGCAAGGUGACAGUUGUUAAAGGAGAAAUUCGCUUGAGGAGGAGCUUGCGGCAGAUAGCUUGUUGGUAAGGUAACGGCUUACCAAGGCUACGAUCUGUAACCGGUCUUAGAGGACGGUCGGUCACACUGACACUGAAUAACGGGUCAGACUCCUACGGGAGGCAGCAGUCGGGAAUUUGGGCAAUGGGCGAAAGCCUGACCCAGCAACGCCGCGUGAAGGAUGAAGUAUUUCGGUAU
rnacentral:rRNA from 1 species